AGAGUUUGAUCCUGGCUCAGAACGAACGCUGGCGGCGUGCUUAACACAUGCAAGUCGAGUGCGCGCCUGUAGCAAUACAGGUGGCGCACGGCGCACGGGUGCGUAACACGUGGGUAAUCUGCCCUCUGAUGGGGAAUAACCCGCCGAAAGGCGGGCUAAUACCGCAUAACAUUCCUUGGAUUUCGGUCCGGGGACUCAAAGGCGUAAGUCGUCGGAGGAGGAGCCCGCGCACGAUUAGCUAGUUGGUAGGGUAAUGGCCUACCAAGGCUUUGAUCGUUAGCUGGUCUGAGAGGAUGGCCAGCCACACUGGAACUGAGACACGGUCCAGACUCCUACGGGAGGCAGCAGUGGGGAAUCUUGCACAAUGGGCGAAAGCCUGAUGCAGCGACGCCGCGUGGGGGAUGAAGCAUUUCGGUGUGUAAACCCCUUUCGAUCCGGACGAAUACCUCGCAAGAGGGGUGACGGUACGGAUAUAAGAAGCCCCGGCUAACUACGUGCCAGCAGCCGCGGUAAGACGUAGGGGGCCAGCGUUGUUCGGAAUUACUGGGUGUAAAGGGUUCGUAGGCGGUGUGGCAAGUUGGGAGUGAAAUCUCUGGGCUCAACCCAGAGGCUGCUUCCAAAACUGCUGUGCUUGAGUGUGAGAGAGGCGCGUGGAAUUGCAGGUGUAGCGGUGAAAUGCGUAGAUAUCUGCAGGAACACCCGUGGCGAAAGCGGCGCGCUGGAUCACUACUGACGCUGAGGAACGAAAGCUAGGGGAGCAAACAGGAUUAGAUACCCUGGUAGUCC
rnacentral:rRNA from 1 species